GGAGACGCCUUGAGGAGACGUUGACUUAAAAAAAAGAAAUUUAAGGAACAAAGCCAACAGCCAACAAAAGUAGAUAUUUUAUUUAAGUUUUAUUUAAUGCAGAUCUGGCAAUUUCGCAGUUUUAAGUUAAUUUUCAUUAAUUUUAUAAUACAAUUUCUGAUGUAAAUAGAUAACUUUAUAAAGCUUCUAAAAUAAUCUCGAAUAAUGGUUUCAGAAUUGGUGCUGCCAGGUGUUAUAAUGUUAGGUUUAUUUGUUAUUAAUGCUGGAGUUUUAUAUUUUAUAUUGCGUGAACGAAAAAGGCAAGACUUCAGAAUACAGGAUACUGAGUUACAAGUUGUUGCAUCAUCCUAACAUUCAAUCUUAAGGGACAUAAUAUCUCUCAUAAUUAUGAAUAAUUAAAUGGAGUAAUAAAUUUUGUAUUUUUA